UACAGAGGGUGCGAGCGUUAAUCGGAAUUAUUGGGCGUAAAGCGUGCGUAGACGGCUAUCUAAGUCGGGUGUGAAAGCCCCGGGCUCAACCUGGGAAUUGCAUUCGAGACUGAAUAGCUAGGGUGCGGUAGAGGGAAGCGGAAUUUCCGGUGUAGCGGUGAAAUGCGUAGAUAUCGGAAGGAACAUCAGUGGCGAAAGCGGCUUCCUGGACCAGCACCGACGUUCAGGCACGAAAGCGUGGGGAGCAAACAGG
rnacentral:rRNA from 1 species